ACAAGCGGUGGAGUAUGUGGUUUAAUUCGACGCAACGCGCAGACCUUACCUGGUCUUGACAUCCCGGGAAUUCCUUGAAAGAGGGAAGUGCCUCGCAAGAGGAGCCUGGAGACAGGUGCUGCAUGGCUGUCGUCAGCUCGUGUCGUGAGAUGUUGGUUAAGUCCCGCAACGAGCGCAACCCUUGUCUUUAGUUGCCAUCAUUCAGUUGGGCACUCUAAAGAGACUGCCGGUGUCAAACCGGAGGAAAGGUGGGGAUGACGUCAAGUCCUCAUGGCCUUUAUGACCAGGGCUACACACGUACUACAAUGGCCGGUACAAAGGGCAGCCACUUAGCGAUAAGGAGCCAAUCCCGUAAAACCUGUCUCAGUCCGGAUUGGAGUCUGCAACUCGACUCCAUGAAGUUGGAAUCGCUAGUAAUCGCGAAUCAGCAUGUCGCGGUGAAUACGUUCCCGGGCCUU
rnacentral:rRNA from 1 species